UGCAGCUUGCCUCACACAACUGCCAGCUGAAGUGCAGAUUCAUAACCCUCAACCUCUCCCAACGACAAGCAGGUAAUGCUGUAAAGUGUGCUCUUAAGCUUCUGUUGCCUUGUGUGAAAUUACACACACACACACACACACACACACACACACACACACACACACACACGCACACUCUUUGCUUCUCUAGAUUUAGCUCUCUUGGAGUAGCUGUGCUGUUUUCUUUUUCAGUAAUAGGCUUCUUUGUAAGGAAUGGAAAAAAGGACCAGAAACCAUCACACCAAAGAUGAGAGAGAAAGAGAGGGCGGGAAGGUAGCGAAAUACCAGAGAGAGUUUUCCAGGACUCUUAUUAAUUUGAAGUUUUGCCUCCCUUGUUCCUUGUUAAUUUUGCUACUUGGUGAAACAGCAAGUUUGGCCUCCAGUUUAGGUUACUUUUAUUUGAAACCCUUUCAGGGAAUUUGGGUCUGAUUUACUAACAAUGUUCCCAUCUCUUGCGUACAGUGCACCAGACAGUGAUCUCAGAGAUGUUCGUCUGUUAUUUGAUGUGGAACUUAAUUUUCUGUCUUAAAACAGCAAAAAUAAAAUAUAGCCCUGGGAGGUUAAUGAUGUUUAGAUCUCACUACCUGGACUGGACCUUCUGUUCCCCUCUACAAUCUCUAUUCCGCAAACUUCUCUCACUGUGCCUUAAGCAGUAACAAUUCUCAGACUAAGCUCAUGCAGUUGUGUUUUGUUUGCCAACAAAUUUUUUAUCUCUCAAUUUUCUGUUUCUCUCAAAGGCAAGGCAGGUUUGUCCGUCAUCUCCUACCAUGGGAGGAGGCUGGGUAUUCACCUGGAUACUGAACAGCGUCCUUGUGGUGGCACGGUGGAUGUGGGAGGCUGCACGUGGGUCCCUUAAGGACUCUGGAAUUGUCCUGCUCAUGGAGAGCCCAGGCCUCUCCUGGAUAUUCCACUGGCCCUCAGGGUUGGAGAAGAAUGAAUGCCCGCUCAAGUUUCUCAGGGGAACGUUCAAAUCAAGGUUGCGGUUGGCCUGUACUUCCCAGGAAGACUCCACACCAGGGCAAUUCUGAGUCUGGCAUUGUUUGGUAGCACAACUGUGCUCAAUGCUUCACUAAAGACCCUCCGUGACCUUGUUAGGAUGUCUUGGUCAUUGAGAAAAUCACAAAGGCUACUAAGUGCAAUGGAGACCUUACUAUAGUCACCUGACCAGCAUAUGCUUGACAAUCAGACUGAUUUCCCACAAAAUGUGCUAUAAACGCUUGAGCCUUUGCCUCUUUCAUCCCUCAUCUCUAAAUUUGAUUUAGUUUCAGAUCUCCAAAAACCAAUCAGCAUCAGUGACCUAAUCAGUAUGCACAUGGAGGGAGAAUAGAUACGGUUUGAGCUAUUGGUAUAAAAAAUAAUGUCAUGAUAAAGAUGCUAUUCUUGGUGCCUGAGAAGAUAUAAUUGACAAGGUUGUUAAAAAGAUAAUUCGAUAAUAAAUACCAAUAUGUUGGUCCAAAUAAAUAAAAUUGACCUGUGCUUGUUGGAAUAAUAAUUUCACAGUUUUAUCACAAUGAUACUGUCAUGUUUUUAUCAUUCUCAGCCUCAAACACGACAAUAAUUUUGUCAGCCUCAAACAUGGCCAUACUCUUGGGUUAUUACUAACUAACCAGCCUUCACUCUUUCAGAAGAAACAGGUCAUAACUUGGUGAAGAAAAAAGGGGAAAAUAUAAUUAAAUAAGUAGCCACCAAGUUUUUAAAAAACCAGCACAUCUAAAGUCAAGCAACUCUUGAAAAGAAUGAGACUCAAAAGUGGCUCCUCAAGCCCGGACCCUGGCUGCCAGUGCAGAGUUAAUCCAGAAGGGAGUGUAAGUAAUUUACAAUACCUUACAACCAAAGCAGAAAUUACCUAAGGCUUCCAGAAGGUUAGCAUACUAGCAGAGCUUUGAGAAAAAAAUAACCUCAUAAAAAUGAAACAUUCCAGUUUUAAAAACUUCUAAUUACUGAUAAUUUCAAAUAUACAAAAGUAAUGAGAACAUUCAGCC
rnacentral:lncRNA from 1 species